CUUUACGGCCAUACCUCUCUGGCUCCGCCUGAUCUCGUCUGAUCUCAGAAGCUAAGCAGAGUAGGGCCUGGUUAGUACUUGGAUGGAAGACCGCCUGGGAAUCCCAGGUGCCGUAAGCU
ensembl:rRNA 5S_rRNA 5S ribosomal RNA